GCGCGGUUCGCGCGACCCGAGCUGUCUUCUCUCGGGCCCAGCAGUUUAGAAAAAUCCCUCUUGAUUUGGUCUGGGAAAGGACGUGAGCUCGAUCUACAAACCUCCUCACAUAACUGAGCCCCGCCGGGCCAACCUGUCAUUUCUGGGCGAGCUCGCAGGCAAAGGUAGCUCCAAUUUUCAGAGAUACACCUGGCAGAAGCAUAAAACCGUAGACAGGAAAGAAUAUCUGAGAGGCUCAGAACCAGCUAGGACGAGAUGUGACAAAUAUUUAUCUCAGCUAUUAAAAGAAAAAAUAAAUCCAGUUUUGAAGA